GUGGGGAAUAUUGGACAAUGGGCGCAAGCCUGAUCCAGCCAUACCGCGUGGGUGAAGAAGGCCUUCGGGUUGUAAAGCCCUUUUGUUGGGAAAGAAAUCCUGUCGGUUAAUACCUGGCGGGGAUGACGGUACCCAAAGAAUAAGCACCGGCUAACUUCGUGCCAGCAGCCGCAGUAAUACGAAGGGUGCAAGCGUUACUCGGAAUUACUGGGCGUAAAGCGUGCGUAGGUGGUGGUUUAAGUCCGUUGUGAAAGCCCUGGGCUCAACCUGGGAAUUGCAGUGGAUACUGGAUCACUAGAGUGUGGUAGAGGGAUGCGGAAUUUCUGGUGUAGCAGUGAAAUGCGUAGAGAUCAGAAGGAACAUCCGUGGCGAAGGCGGCAUCCUGGGCCAACACUGACACUGAGGCACGAAAGCGUGGGGAGCAAACAGGAUUAGAAACCCGGGUAGUCC
rnacentral:rRNA from 1 species